GGGGGACGGGACACGCCAGCGGAGCGAGCGCCGGCCUCAGCGCCCAGGCUGCGAGAGCUACUUACCCUCACUCCCUGCCGGCCGGCCCGCGGGCUCUAAGUGAUGCCUGGAGAGCAGCACAGCGGCCCCCCGCCCCUCAUCGCCCCCCAGAGCCCGGGGGGUCCCGCCCCGUGCUGGGCGCUGGAGCAGCCUCCCGAGCGGGCAAGGAAGGGAGAGCGCGGGGAAGCCCGCUCCCUCCGCCCCCUGCAGCCCCACGGUGCAGCGAGAGCGGCAGCAGGUGAGACAGGGAGCGGGGCAGGCACCGCACACGGGCGGCUCAGCUCCUCCCUGCCGCGCCGCUCUCACAAGCCCCCCGCAGCAGCAGCGUGUAACUCACUCUCGGACUCCGGCGGGAGUGAAACUCGUGUCAUCACUUCAGCCGGGCUCCCCCUGGCCCUCGGCGCCGCUUCGGACCAGGCCCGGCUUCCUUGACACUACAGGGGCCGAGGAGCAGAGCCCGGCUGAAGCCCCCAGGCAGAGUUGGCUGUGCAGGCAGCAGGUACAGGUUCCGCUCAAAGUCCUUUCCUACACAGAUCGGCUCGACCGGCUCGCAGCCUGGAUCUGUCCGGCUUUGCAAACAGCCCGCUUGUUUCCUGCCUUGUUAAGAAACCAGCAAGUAGCACAGGAAGCCGCCGGGGCUAGGAAAACCCACACAACACUCCGCAGGCAAAGAGGCAGUCCAGAUCUACCCGGACCGCGGGGACAGGCAGCUGCACACACGCAAAGCACCGCGCCAGCCUUCCAGAACACAGGCACCAACAUUUUCCUCCGCUCCAGCUUUGCAAAAAGCCUUAAACUUAGUUUCAGCGUCAUCAUUUUAAAACUGGAUCCCACAGUGGCGAAAUCCACCACUUGGUACCCUCUAAGCAGCGCCGAGUCGUGCUCGGCUUCCCAUUUCUGUCAUUCGUUUCUUUCAGGUGACAUUUUGAAGCUUCCACAAACUUAUCUCGGGGUAGUUCUGGUCGUUUUUCUGCCUCUCACGUUGUUUUCUACAUGCCCAGUCCUGAGCAGGAAUUUAGGAGAUUGUACACUGAGGAGGACUUUAACUCAGAACAGACAUUUACAAAGCUGAGAGACUAUACUAUGGAUGAGACCUGAAAGACACAAUAAGAAAUUCUUCACCUUGGAAAAAAAUCAAUCUCAAGGGCUAGUGAUCUGUGAGUAUCCUAG
rnacentral:lncRNA from 1 species